rnacentral:misc_RNA from 1 species
AAGUCGUAACAAGGUUUCCGUAGGUGAACCUGCGGAAGGAUCAUUAACACGUAUCCACGUAUCAACCCCAUGUGCUUUUUGUUUUAACAUACCAACCUGUCUGAGACAGUUUGGGGAAAGAAUCUCAUGCUUAAUCUUGAGUUCGAACGAAGGAAAGUCGAGUGGUUUUGGGUGAACGCAAGUUUAUUCAAAUGCUUUUCUUUGCGUCGGACUUGGGGGAGUGAGGUUUUUGACUUGAACUGUUUCGUCGCUACAGGAUGUUUAUCAUGCCUACCACUUGGCGUGAUGCUCAAACUUAUUAACCCCUUUCUUGUAAAUGAAUGUCUAAUUCAAACUUUGAUUUUUAUUUGAAGCUCUUCAUUGAGUUUCAUACUAAUCAAUAGUACGAAAUGCUUGACAACUCUUAGCAACGGAUAUCUUGGUUCUC